rnacentral:rRNA from 1 species
AUUGAACGCUGGCGGCAUGCUUUACACAUGCAAGUCGAACGGUAACAGGGUGCUUGCACCGCUGACGAGUGGCGAACGGGUGAGUAAUGCGUCGGAACGUGCCGAGUAAUGGGGGAUAACGCAUCGAAAGGUGUGCUAAUACCGCAUACGCUCUGAGGAGGAAAGCUGGGGAUCGCAAGACCUGGCGCUUGAAGAGGGGCCCGCGCCUGAUUAGCUAGUUGGUGGGGUAAUGGCUCACCAAGGCAACGAUCAGUAUCCGGCCUGAGAGGGCGGACGGACACACUGGGACUGAGACACGGCCCAGACUCCUACGGGAGGCAGCAGUGGGGAAUUGUUCGCAAUGGGCGCAAGCCUGACGACGCAACGCCGCGUGGAGGACGAAGAUCUUCGGGUCGUAAACUCCUGUCGAGCGGGAAGAACGCUUUCCGGACGAAUAAUCCGGGGAGGUGACGGUACCGCUAAAGGAAGCCCCGGCUAACUCCGUGCCAGCAGCCGCGGUAACAC